AGGGAUGUAGCUCAGUGGGAGCACCUGCUUAGCAGGCAUGAGGCCCUGGGUUCCAUCACCAGCACCACAA
rnacentral:tRNA from 1 species